UGACCUCAUCGCUAGUGGCAUCCA
rnacentral:misc_RNA from 1 species